GGGACACGUGGUAUCCUGUCUGAAUAUGGGGGGACCAUCCUCCAAGGCUAAAUACUCCUGACUGACCGAUAGUGAACCAGUACCGUGAGGGAAAGGCGAAAAGAACCCCGGCGAGGGGAGUGAAAAAGAACCUGAAACCGUGUACGUACAAGCAGUGGGAGCACGCUUAGGCGUGUGACUGCGUACCUUUUGUAUAAUGGGUCAGCGACUUAUAUUCUGUAGCAAGGUUAACCGAAUAGGGGAGCCGAAGGGAAACCGAGUCUUAACUGGGCGUUAAGUUGCAGGGUAUAGACCCGAAACCCGGUGAUCUAGCCAUGGGCAGGUUGAAGGUUGGGUAACACUAACUGGAGGACCGAACCGACUAAUGUUGAAAAAUUAGCGGAUGACUUGUGGCUGGGGGUGAAAGGCCAAUCAAACCGGGAGAUAGCUGGUUCUCCCCGAAAGCUAUUUAGGUAGCGCCUCGUGAAUUCAUCUCCGGGGGUAGAGCACUGUUUCGGCAAGGGGGUCAUCCCGACUUACCAACCCGAUGCAAACUGCGAAUACCGGAGAAUGUUAUCACGGGAGACACACGGCGGGUGCUAACGUCCGUCGUGAAGAGGGAAACAACCCAGACCGCCAGCUAAGGUCCCAAAGUCAUGGUUAAGUGGGAAACGAUGUGGGAAGGCCCAGACAGCCAGGAUGUUGGCUUAGAAGCAGCCAUCAUUUAAAGAAAGCGUAAUAGCUCACUGGUCGAGUCGGCCUGCGCGGAAGAUGUAACGGGGCUAAACCAUGCACCGAAGCUGCGGCAGCGACGCUUAUGCGUUGUUGGGUAGGGGAGCGUUCUGUAAGCCUGCGAAGGUGUGCUGUGAGGCAUGCUGGAGGUAUCAGAAGUGCGAAUGCUGACAUAAGUAACGAUAAAGCGGGUGAAAAGCCCGCUCGCCGGAAGACCAAGGGUUCCUGUCCAACGUUAAUCGGGGCAGGGUGAGUCGACCCCUAAGGCGAGGCCGAAAGGCGUAGUCGAUGGGAAACAGGUUAAUAUUCCUGUACUUGGUGUUACUGCGAAGGGGGGACGGAGAAGGCUAUGUUGGCCGGGC
rnacentral:rRNA from 1 species